rnacentral:antisense_RNA from 1 species
UGUGGGAGCUGGCUUGCCAGCGAUGGCGGCGGUACAUCCAACAUAGUGGUGUCAGACAGAUUGCUAUCGCUGGCAAGCCAGCUCCCACA